rnacentral:rRNA from 1 species
UGCAGAAUCCCGUGAACCAUCGAGUCUUUGAACGCAAGUUGCGCCCGAAGCCGUCAGGCCGAGGGCACGCCUGCCUGGGCGUCA